rnacentral:rRNA from 1 species
GUGGGGAAUUUUGGACAAUGGGCGCAAGCCUGAUCCAGCAAUGCCGCGUGCAGGAAGAAGGCCUUCGGGUUGUAAACUGCUUUUGUACGGAACGAAAAGGCUCUGGCUAAUACCUGGAGCUCAUGACGGUACCGUAAGAAUAAGCUCCGGCUAACUACGUGCCAGCAGCCGCGGUAAUACGUAGGGUGCGAGCGUUAAUCGGAAUUACUGGGCGUAAAGCGUGCGCAGGCGGUGCUGUAAGACAGGCGUGAAAUCCCCGGGCUCAACCUGGGAAUUGCGCUUGUGACUGCAGCGCUGGAGUGCGGCAGAGGGGGAUGGAAUUCCGCGUGUAGCAAUGAAAUGCGUAGAUAUGCGGAGGAACACCGAUGGCGAAGGCAAUCCCCUGGGCCUGCACUGACGCUCAUGCACGAAAGCGUGGGGAGCAAACAGGAUUAGAUACCCUAGUAGUCC